ACGGGAGGCAGCAGUGGGGAAUAUUGGGCAAUGGGCGCAAGCCUGACCCAGCGACGCCGCGUGAGGGAAGAAGGUCUUCGGAUUGUAAACCUUUGUUGACAGGGACGAUAAUGACGGUACCUGUCGAGGAAGCCACGGCUAACUACGUGCCAGCAGCCGCGGUAAUACGUAGGUGGCGAGCGUUAUCCGGAUUUACUGGGUGUAAAGGGCGUGUAGGCGGAGCUGCAAGUCAGAUGUGAAAUCCCGGGGCUCAACCCCGGAACUGCAUUUGAAACUGUAGCCCUUGAGUAUCGGAGAGGCAAGCGGAAUUCCUAGUGUAGCGGUGAAAUGCGUAGAUAUUAGGAGGAACACCAGUGGCGAAGGCGGCUUGCUGGACGACAACUGACGCUGAGGCGCGAAAGCGUGGGGAGCAAACAGGAUUAGAUACCCUGGUA
rnacentral:rRNA from 1 species